CCCAGGGGAGGUGUGGGGAGAGCUCCCAGUGCUCCCCAGUGCACCCCAGUUCUCUGAUGGACCCCGGCUCCCAAUCCACGGCCUCUGCCACCGCUCCCGGCUCCGGCUGCUCCACCAGGAAUAUUCCAAUUUAAUUGGAGAUGUUUUUCCCUCUGAGAAAGUGACCAGAGCCACCUCCCCCCACAAAAAAAAAAAACCCUGCGUGGGGUAUCCCGAGCUCCCGUGGCUCCCGUGGUGUGAAAUUCCCGAAUUCCGGUUUCCAGGGUUGUCUGUGCUCAGGCAGGAUGAGAGCCCAUGAGGAGAAGCAUCGGGAGCCUCCACGGGGCACGGGAAUCCUCAGCUCCGGUUUUCCCAAGCUCCCUGUGCCCGGCAGCUCUGCCUGGGACAUUCCUUAGGGAUACCAGCCCUCGGAGCCCUUUGAGUUAUCAUUUGAUCAGCGCUUCUCAGAUCAGGAUAUCUGAUCAUCCCUGCAGCUGGAAUGCCGCCAGCCAGGAGGGGAUGAUGCCCCUUCCCGAGUCAAAUGGAAUCCAAAUGAUUUGAUUGGAUUAUUUUUAACACAGCCAGGAGCAGCUCCACGGUGCUCUUAGGGAGGGAUUCCCAUGGGGAAGGGGAUGAACCCGCGGGGGAGGUGGGAACUGUCCGAGGGGAGGCUGAGAUCCCUUCCCCGCUGGGGGUGGCUUCCCUCUGCUCCUUUUUCCCUUUCCCUCCCCCUCUCCCCGAAGCUCUCCCGAACAAGUGCUGGUUUCUGGCACGGCCUUUCCCAGCUGCACAAAGGCUGCCUUGUGCCGCCAAGCUCCAGAUGUUCCUCAUCCCACAAAAACUCCAGCACCAGGACCUCAUGGAGGUGUCAGGAGUUCCCUCUCCUGUGGGCCCAGGGCUCCCACCUCGGGGACACAGGUUGGGGACAGGCUGGACCCCACCCUGUCCAUGGAGCAGGGUCUAUUAAGCUGAUUCCUCCUUCCCGUGCCCUGGGAGCCGCGGUUAAUGAGUAACCACAGCGAGCUCCGAGGCAGCUGCCUCACACAAACCGACCGAGGCUUUUUUGGAGCUGCAUAAGGGAACGUUUGUUCUGCAGCCUCUCAAUGGAUCCUUGUGCAGGAGGCAAGGAGUGUGGGGAGAGAAAGAGAGAG